GCCUUCGUGGUGUAGUGAUCAGCACGCUCGACGCGUAACCGAGAGGUCCGUGGUUCGAUUCCCGGUGAAGGCG
rnacentral:tRNA from 1 species